rnacentral:rRNA from 1 species
CGGACGGGUGAGUAACGCGUGGGUAACCUGCCUUGUACUGGGGGACAACGGUUAGAAAUGACUGCUAACACCGCAUAAGCGCACAGUAUCGCAUGAUACAGUGUGAAAAACUCCGGUGGUACAAGAUGGACCCGCGUCUGAUUAGCUAGUUGGUAAGGUAACGGCUUACCAAGGCGACGAUCAGUAGCCGACCUGAGAGGGUGACCGGCCACAUUGGGACUGAGACACGGCCCAA